rnacentral:rRNA from 1 species
AGUGAACGCUGGCGGCAGGCCUAACACAUGCAAGUCGAACGGCAGCACAGGAGAGCUUGCUCUCUGGGUGGCGAGUGGCGGACGGGUGAGGACUAUAUCGGAAUCUACCCUUUCGUGGGGGAUAACGUAGGGAAACUUACGCUAAUACCGCAUACGAACUGAGGUUGAAAGCGGCGGACCGCAAGGCGUCGCGCGGAUGGAUGAGCCGAUAUCCGAUUAGCUAGUUGGCGGGGUAAAGGCCCACCAAGGCGACGAUCGGUAGCUGGUCUGAGAGGAUGAUCAGCCACACUGGAACUGAGACACGGUCCAGACUCCUACGGGAGGCAGCAGUGGGGAAUAUUGGACAAUGGGCGCAAGCCUGAUCCAGCCAUGCCGCGUGUGUGAAGAAGGCCUUCGGGUUGUAAAGCACUUUCGUUGGGAAAGAAAAGCGGUCGGUUAAUACCCGGUCGUUCUGACGGUACCCAAAGAAUAAGCACCGGCUAACUUCGUGCCAGCCGCCGCCGAAA